UGGGGAAUUUUGGACAAUGGGCGAAAGCCUGAUCCAGCAAUGCCGCGUGUGUGAAGAAGGCCUUCGGGUUGUAAAGCACUUUUGUCCGGAAAGAAAUCCUUGGCUCUAAUACAGUCGGGGGAUGACGGUACCGGAAGAAUAAGCACCGGCUAACUACGUGCCAGCAGCCGCGGUAAUACGUAGGGUGCAAGCGUUAAUCGGAAUUACUGGGCGUAAAGCGUGCGCAGGCGGUUUGCUAAGACCGAUGUGAAAUCCCCGGGCUCAACCUGGGAACUGCAUUGGUGACUGGCAGGCUAGAGUAUGGCAGAGGGGGGUAGAAUUCCACGUGUAGCAGUGAAAUGCGUAGAGAUGUGGAGGAAUACCGAUGGCGAAGGCAGCCCCCUGGGCCAAUACUGACGCUCAUGCACAAAAGCGUGGGGGAGCAAACAGGAUUAGAUACCCUGGUAGUCCACGCCCUAAACGAUGUCAACUAGUUGUUGGGGGAUUCAUUUCCUUAGUAACGUAGCUAACGCGUGAAGUUGACCGCCUGGGGAGUACGGUCGCAAGAUUAAAACUCAAAGGAAUUGACGGGGUCAUAGCUGUUUCCU
rnacentral:rRNA from 1 species